rnacentral:rRNA from 1 species
UACGGAGGGUGCGAGCGUUAAUCGGAAUCACUGGGCGUAAAGCGCACGUAGGCGGUGAUGCAAGUCAGCUGUGAAAGCCCUGGGCUUAACCUGGGAAUGGCAGUUGAAACUGCAUGACUGGAGUCUGAGAGAGGGGGGUGGAAUUCCAGGUGUAGCGGUGAAAUGCGUAGAGAUCUGGAGGAACACCGGUGGCGAAGGCGGCCCCCUGGCUUAAGACUGACGCUGAGGUGCGAAGGCGUGGGGAGCAAACAGG